rnacentral:sRNA from 1 species
AGAUAAUUUACCAGACUCACAUCGACAGGGAGAUUGAAUCGCUCAUUGAAAGAAUCCAUCCACCCAGGGUCUGUAUAGACAAUGAUUCCUGCAGCGAUUGCACAGUGGUGAAGAUUGACAGCGCAAACAGGCAUGGGAUAUUGUUGGAGAUGGUGCAGGUGUUGGCAGAGCUUGAUCUCAUCAUUUCCAAAUCAUACAUUUCUUCUGAUGGUGGAUGGUUAAUGGAUGCGUUCCACGUGACGGAUCAGUUUGGACACAAGCUUACUGACAAAGGCCUCGUCCAUUACAUUCAGCAGGCUCUGUGUGAAGCUAGAAGCAGCAAAGGAAUUUCAAGCGACAUAGAGCUCCGAAGUUGCAAUGAACUACCAGGAUCUAAAGUGUCGGUGUCAGCGUCGAACUUUGCCAUAGAGUUGACCACGAGGGACCAACCAGGCCUGUUUGUAGAUAUAUCAACUGCUCUACUAGGGUUGGGCUUCAACGUCAGCUCCGCAACGGCCUGGACCCACAAUGAAAGGGCGGCCUGCAUUAUCUAUGUGGAGGACGCAAACAAACUUGGGCCGAUCCACGACGCGGAAAGUUUGGCCCACUUGCAGGACGAGCUCCAGAAUGUGGUCAAGGCCCAAGACGGGGAGGAGGAGAAGAAAAGAGUGAGGCUGAGGCUGAGGAGCUUGGCCGCUGGGUGCGACCAUACGGAGCGGCGACUCCACCAGAUGAUGUACGCCGACGGGGACUACGAGAGGUCCGGCGCAUGCCAGAGCGAAAAGGAAAAUGGACAUGAGGGGAUAGAGGUGUCGGUGUGUAGGUACGCAGAGAAAGGGUACUGGGUGGUGAACGUGAGGAGCAGGGACCGCCCUAAGCUUCUGUUUGAUACUGUCUGCGUCCUCACCGACAUGCAGUACGAGGUGUUUCACGCCGCCGUUAGCUCCAACACCUCCAUGGCCGACCAGGUACUUCUUUUUCUAUUGCGCAAAACAUGCUUACACUUUAAAUUCUA